AUCUUCAAGGGAAUAACAAGAACCAUUGCACAGAUUCACCAUCCCCACCAGAGAAGCUCAUUGCUGGGAUCCUGGGAGUCAUCUGCUUUAUCUUGAUGUACACUGCAGUAAGAAUGAUUCUGUGUAACCAGACAGGGAACUAGACAACAGGGAACCAGAAAG